CUGUUUGUGUUUGAUGUCUGGGAGUUUCAGAACAACUGAUAACAACUAGUGACUGUUAUGGGAUACUAUGAGGAUCCUUGGUAUCUGGCCUUGCUGACAUUAGGUACUUGCCGACUCCCUGAAUAGCCCCAUUCAAAUCAAUGUAACUGCUCUUGGAGCAAGGUUCUGCUCCGUGUUAAUGAAGAUGUCGGAAUCUGGCCCACAGGGAAUAAAUGUGUUGAGCAAGAAGGGGCUCUUUUAUAACCUCUUUCCUAGAACAUGUUUGGAGGCCUGCGUUUGCAGCUGGUUCCUAUCUCAAAGCUGGGCCAAACCAAGCCCCCCCUUACCAGAAGAUACAAGCGUGCCCAGACUUUUGGAAGUUCAGCUCUGGAUCCAAACGUUAGGUCUGAUCCAAAGUUGAUAGACUCCCGCUGACCUAAACAGGCUCCUGCUGACCUAAACAGUCACUUGGACCGAGUCUCUGUGACUUGGGCCAGUCCUGACACAAGGCGAAACACCAUCCACCAAAACUGCCGGGCUGUCUGGGCCCAUGCUUGUAAGAAUACAGCCACUUUGCUUUUUCUUUUUUUUUUCCUCUUGCUUUUUAAAUUAUUUUUAGGGAAGGGAUUGGUCUCAAGGAGGCAUAAACUCCCUUCUUUUCCAUCCCUGAUUGAGUAUCAAACUCCUCCGCUGAGAUUUCUCCAUGGAGACAUUGGGUUUUCCUGGCAGGCAGGGUUGCAAACUACUCAGCGGAAUGUCUACAGCUCUGCAGCUCCGGAGGAGCCAGGAGGCUGGGCAUCCCAGCCAAGGGAAAUACUGCUCUCGUCCCAAGAACACUUUCAUGGAGACUGAGGUGCAUACUGGAUUAGAAACGGCUAAGCUGGGUUCUUGUUUUUUUUUUUGUUGUUGUUGUUUUCUUUUUCCCCUCGAAAAUCUAAAGCAUGGGGAAGAGAAAUCCACAGACGAGAAAUCUGGGGAUCCUUAUGGAUGUUGCAAAAUGCGGUUUGUUAAUGGAUCUUUUUUACUUCUGGUACUUCUGGCUUGUUGAACACACACGCGCACAUACACACAUACAGAGAAUAACUUGGCAAGCUCGUGUUUUCGUGGCACAGCACCAGGAAAUGGGAGUUCCCCUCCCAACAGAGAAGAUCAGGGCAAUGAGGCAAAGGUGGGGAAUCAGACCCAGCCUGAGUCUCAGCGGAGCUCUGGCCCGGACAACUCUUACACAAAUAAUCUCCGGGAGCUCUGAACCCGUGCUUCAUUGUGGACACAGACAGUGCUGUAGAAAAAACAGACUGAAAUUGCUUCUCUUUCAUGGCAUCUGUAGUGUAAAAACGGUUUUCGUCCAAGACAUUUGUGGUCGGAAAAUCCUGACACCUCAUAAAUUAUCUUAGAGGCGCAACAAAGCUUCAAAAAGAUGAAACUCAAUGCUGAGGUCAGCAGGAAUUUUUUCGCAUCUUCUGCAGUGGAGGAACAUUUUCAGUCUCAGGAAACCACCACAAAAAGAGGCAGCAAGAAGAGAGAAUAUUUCUUGGCACGAGAACCUCAACGCUCAGGGGAGUGCGGCGUCUUAUAUUAUUUAUUUUUGGCCACCUCUGUGUUCACACAUCAUCAGAAUAUGAUCCAAGUGACCAGGGGCAGCCUGAUAGUGAGGUGGCUGCUGUAGUUAGGUGACAAUUCCAGGUCCACCCAAACACUCAGGCUAAUUGCUCCUGCAUAGUGCUGGGGGCUACGUGGGCUGCGAACCUCCCAGGAUCAGCCUGACAACACCUAAUAGGGAAGUUUGGUUUGGGAUAGGGGCGAAGCUCUGCAUAACCACAGUAGGCUUCAGUGUGGGUUUGCAGAGAGCGUGGAGCAGCGUUGCGAGGAAUGGUUUAUGGUCUCGAUCAGCUCAUUACCCACAAACAGACAGUUGGCAUUUUGUAAAGCUGUUUCCCUAUUCCUCUCGACUACAAAUGCAAACCCCACUGCUGGAGCUCUGGCUGUCCCGCUGCGGGAGGCUAAGCAGGCUGCUUAAUCCCUCACACCUUCCCAUGGCUGUAGCUAGUCCGAACAAGGACAACUGCUGGGCAGUUUCCCUUGCUCUCCUCUCGGACAUUUCCUCUUUGCUGUACAGACGACAGCUUCCUUCUUCCAGAUGAGAAGAAAGUGGGAAAAGACUCUUUGAAAGGGGGAUGUCAAACACAAGAACCUCUGCAGGUACCCAGUCAUGAUCCUCUGCAGCACAUUAAAGCCUCUGUUGGUCAAAACAGAGGGAAAACGAUGGUUGAAAGGAGAACAGACGUGGUGUCCAGGAUGACCUGUGGUUCCUGUGUUGUGGCGUGUGGCAGGAAGGACCCAGCCAAAACCAGGACAGUCACAGAGUCUCAUUCAAAGGCCAGGACCCCCCUGUGCUUUGCCAUGUCCCUAAAGAAUGUCCCAGAGAUUUCCAAUCCAACUGGCCAAUACUCUACCCAAGUCAAGAAUGGCUCCCGAGCCCCUUCAGCAGAGGUCUGAUCUUCAGCCUGCUCCUGUCCUGGAGAAGUCAUAAGGUGGCUUGUGUCAUGAAUAGCUCUGCCUAGGGUCAAUUCCAGUCUGAGAAGAUGUCUUAAAGGACAGGAUCAUCACCCACUUGUGAGGGGGACCAGUGUGGCUGCUUAAAUGGUCAAUUCUAGUGUUUGGUUGCACAGUAGCUUCUAGGUACUGGUGUGGGAGAAGCAGCUUCUCAGUGUUGGUAAUGGCUGUACUUGUGGUAAAGAAGGGAUUUCCCUUUCCUUGAGCUUGCAUCCAGGUAAGGCAGGCAGCACAUCGGGUGUCAGCUGGGUGGUUGGCUUUUGGAAGAGAACCAGAGAUGAGUUUGAACAAACGUGAGAACCUGUGAGUGCUGCUUUUGUGUCCAUAGCUACACUCGUCCAUGUGACUUAACUAAUAAGGUUUGAAGAGGCAAAGAUUGUAAGGAACUUGCAGCCUAAUUGCUGCUUUGUGAUGAUGUUUAGCAGUUCACACAGGCCAAAGCACCAAUUUUGGUCAGGAUUAUUUCUUUAAGAGCAGUGUCUGGGACAUCUGUGGCAAAGGCUCUGGUUAUUCUGAAUAGUCCUGAGAAUGAAACCAAGAAAAGUUGGGUCUGCAAAAACUGAGGCAUUUAGCAGUAAAUAUUCCCUAAACCAGUGACCACAUGUCUGAAAAAUGAGAUUUAUGCAAAAUGGGAAGGGAAGUUUCAUAACAACACUCUCUCAUAAAAUAACAACAGUGAUGUAUGCACCCAUGUACACGCACGUUCUUUCCAGAUAAGAUCAAAUAUCCAACACUCCAAAGAUGAAACAUUUUUCUAUUUAUUUUUCUCCUUCUGACUUUGAAAUAUAUUUUUUCUGGGCAGAAAUGCUGCAGAGAAUUCUUUCAGCCACUGCUGGGAGUGAUCUCUCUCCCUUGCCUGUAACAAUGCAUGUACACCAGGCCAUUGCAGCCUGUAACUUCUCUUGCAUAUCCCAGUCCUCCUGCCAUUCAAGUCCUGCUCUCCUUGUUCCAUGCAUCGCCUUCCAGGACUCUGGAAUACGUUUCCUCUAAAUGUUCUGUUGGUGGUGAUUUUAGCAGAUAAGAUAGCGGUAGGUAUGGGAGUGGAGUCAUCAGAGCAAUAGUGGGAACUGUUGGAAGGGAGGAGAUGCAGAAAGGAGAGAGAAAAUAAGGUAAAAAGAUAGAAAUGGAAGGAAGGAAAUGAGGGAAGGGAAAGGUAGAGAUGGAAGAGAAAGAAAAGAUAGAAAAAGCAAGGAUCCCAGAGGACAGAUUCUUCCUCUGAGCCAUGUUAUAUACUGCAUAAAUUACAGUAAAUUGAAAUAUUGUUGAUCUAUAAAGGCUGUAUUGUUCUCUUUUUCUCUUGGCCAACUACUAAUGACGUAAGCAGGAACUCUGCUCUGGGCUGAAGAAGUCUAGAGCCUAGCAAGCAAGCCUGGCGCCCAGACUGGGGCUGGAAGUGGGAUUUGGCCUCUGCUACAGAAAGACUUUGAGGAUUCAGACUCAGAGGAACCCAGGGAAUGUGAGGCUGCUGGGCAAGCUUCAGAUAGGAGCAUUUAGUCAGUGUUUCUUCCACAAAACCCAAUAAAAAUACAUCUUGAAAUCUUUUCCAGGAAGAUGUCAGAACUCUUCUGCAGAGUUAACAUGCCCAGCGCAGAGACCAGCUUAGUCAUUCCAGAAUAAGACAGAGGGGUCUAAGUCCUGCUAGAAGUCCAUAUAUCCUGCAAGUCUGCUACGGGAGGUGCUCCAUGAUGUGUACAAAUCUUUGCAGACUCCAGGAUCCUGGCCAGCUGGAGCAGCGGAGGCUGCCAAGUCCCUCAGGUUGAUGGAGCCAGCAGGCUGCUCCACCUGACUGUCUGGAAGCAUUCUUUUGCUCUCUUGGGAGGUUCCCAGCGCGUCUCCAUUUCCUCCGAAAGAAGGUUCACCCAUGAUUGCCAGCAUCUGUGUCAGGUUUUCUUUCCAUGGGUGCUGAGGCUGCAAAACCCAGAGCCCCGUGGCCCUUCUUUGCACUGUUUUAGCCAUCUCCCAGCUGCACAAGGCCUGAAAAUUUCAAAAAAAUAGCUAAGUAGGCAGAUGAAAAGACACAGGCUCCUGGCUAGUGCUAUAGCUGCUACAUAGGGAUAGAGAUGAUGAUCUCAAGAAUUCUUUGUAUCUUACAGCCUGAUGAGGACAGUAACAACCCCUGGUUUUCUGCUUUUCUAAACGAGGAGAAGAAUCUCUUUGUCAACAGCUGAGAAGAUCCUGAAGAAUACAAGUGUGUGAGGAGGUAACAAGGGGACAGCUGAAGUUUACGUUGUUGUUAAGUUUCUGUGCUAAUCUCAGGAAUGAUAUGCUGAAAAAGUAAAUCCUUUGCAAAUGCUCAUGAAUCUCUGGUAUUUGGGUGCUCUGCAGCAGAGAUGCAAAAACACAAAAAAAAGUUUUACCAGUUGAUCUCACCAUGUGGCUCUCAUCUAGUGCUCUGUUCUGCCUGCUUCUUGCCUGGGAUGGUGUUCAGGACAAGUGGGAUCUUCAGAAGUGCUUCAUAUAGGGGAGAGUAAGAAAAUUCUUCUUUCCCCCUUCUUCCCUGUCUAAGCAGCUUGGACUAACUGCACCUCCCUCUCUGGGUGCCCUUCCCAAGAACAAAUGAAAGUUGUUCCUACCCAACACUUUGAAACUGAGGUAAUGACUUGCACAUCAACAAUGCUGUCAGUUUUGUUAUCUAUCUGUAGUCGUGCCCUGCUGUUGUGCUGCCUAAUGGGUAGCGUGGUCCCUUCCUGUGUUUGAGUCUUGUUUUACACCUCUAAGUCCUAUCCUAAGCAUGUACACAGCAGUGAGGUGCAGCCCCAGAAGUGGAGAGGAGAGCAGAGAAAGGAGAGGUAGAAAAAAGUGCCAGAAACUAGGCCUAGGAAGUUCGGUGAAUGCAUAAGCAAUACGGUUAGUGUGUGCUUCUGAAAUGGGGUGAAAUGUAUAAUAUGUAGCAAAAAGCAGCUUUGCUGGUUCUGGCUGACUUGCACAGUAGGUUUCUUUUAUCCGUUUUUAAUGUGUGAGAUGUUCGCCCUGCUGAGGAACUCUGUCACUUUUUGUUCAGCUUGCUGGAGCUUUUCACACAUAGACAAGAGAUGCAACUCCAUGCGCUUUCUCUCUUCCUUAAUGCAGAGGUUCCCAAACCAUGGCGAAGAUCCCCGACAGCCUUCUUUAUGUCUUUUGGAGCCUGUACACUUUUAUUGUUCAGCUUUGAAUAGAGAGUCUUAGAGAAGAGUUAGUUCUCCAGACUCGCUACAAACUUUUAUAGCUUUACCAACCAUAAUGGGUCAAGGGCGAGGAGUGCUGUUUUGGCCACGAAGGUGCCGAUUUCAAACCAGAAUCUCGUUAUUUUCUCUUUGAUUUUUGAAAAACAAAGAGUUCUGGUGAGGAACUGCAUGUAAAAAAGAGAUGAGGAUUAACGAAGAAGCGAAGAGGAGGUCUUUUUUUGCUUACGUGGAACGGAAGAAAAAAUGAAGCAGCUGCUUGUGGAAACAUGGAAGGUCUCCAGUAUAAUGAAUAAUAAGGAUAAUUUCAGCUAUAUUUUCAGAGAUCGGAACAGUAUUUAUAUGCAAAUACUAUCUCAGAAGGUAGUGGAAAAAUCAGUUUUCCUAACAUUGGCUGGAAAACAGAAUUUGCAGUUCUGGAAGACUUGAGAUUUCUAUAGGAACCAAAUGAGAUGAAGUAGAAAGACUUAACAGAGGUGAUUAAAAAGAGCUUAUUUUGUGCUGAAAGCAAACUUUCUAGCCGAAGGACAUUAAUUACGUAGGGAGCAAAUGGCUUUCUAGCGAGUUUAAAGGUGUCAGCUGCCUGCAGGGGUUAAGCCACAACAAAACCAUGCCAGUAUCUGCCCUUAAUAAUUCUGUGUAAGAAAGCCUUAGAGAGCUGAGCUAGCACAGCCUUGGAGGAACCACAGAUGAUGCACCUGAUCUGGUGUAAAUCAAGCUUACCCUACCUGAAUUUUGGAGUCCUGUUAAUAUUGGAAUGCACACAAAAGAAACCUUACUUCAUAAAUCAAGAAAGAGCCUUCCCCAUUUUCUCUUGUUUUGAAGAAAGGCUGGAGGUCGGUGGUGUGGGCAGAACACUUCAACCACGCUGUCUGAUGUAUGGGAAUUUUAAACAACGGUAAGAAUUAUGGAUGUUAUCUUGCAUUAAGGAUUUGCCUAAUUUUGUGUUUUGUUUUGGUUGUUUUAGCAAUAACAACGUUGUGGUUUCUGUACUCGCCUUCCCAAAGCACAGAGCCAUCACAAACAAGCAAGCUCCUUCCUCUGCAGGGCGAUUUCCGUUUUAUUUUAUUUUAUUAGGGAGCUAAAGAAAAGCUUUGAUCUACACUCCUGCCUGAUAUCUAAUGAGGCAUUUUCAUCAAACUCUGCUCCUGACCGAACUCAUGUUAAUCUCAGCAAGAUUCACAUAGACAGAUAUUCUUGUGUUUCUGGAUAGUGGAAUGGGAUCUUGUAAUUCCACCUUGCUGGUAUGAGCUCCAUGGACACCACUGCAGGGACAGAGACCUUUCUGUAGAAAAUUCAUCGCAGGUUUGGAGCAUAAGGGCAAGUAUAUUUCGCCUUAAUUAAUGUAUGAUUAAAUCUUACUUAUAUGUGUUGGUCCUUCUCCCACUGAAGCUGAUGGCAAAUCUCCUGUGGAGUUCAGCAAAGUGGGGUGGAAUCUAUACAGAAAUUGUUUUUCCCAGAACAACUUCGCAAUAACCAGUGGGUUUGCAAACUCCUCACUCUGACACAUUGAAACAAUUUGGGACUUUCAUUCCAUUUUGCUUUAAUUGGACUUACACUGCAUCUAAGUCUUCCUAAGUGGGUUGCUCUGCCUAAAAUAUGUGCAGGCAUGUUUGCACUCUCUGAGGGAACGUGGUGGUUAAACUAGAAGGCGAGGUUAUGUUAGCAAGGAUAUUUUCUUUUUAUACUGCUUCCAAAGGCAACCCUGUUUUGGGCUCACCACUCUGGCUUGACCGCUCUGUGCCUCUCCAUCCCAAAUCAUGCUGGGAUUUGAUGAUAAAGCACAUCCUCUUUCCAGGAGCCAAGCCAACCCCUACAUCCUAACUCACUGGUGUUCUGGUACCUUAGGCACUUUGUGGUCAGAAGGCAGACUGCGAAUGUGGGUAUUAGCCGUGGUGAUGCUGGAAUGUCCAAACCCUCUGUAGGAAGAGAGGUUUCUUACAGAGCUGUUGUUGCCCAGUUGAUUGUCAGUUCCUUUGUUUUUAUGUUUCUCAGACUGUGCCAGCCGAGAUAGCUCUUAGCUGGAUCCCAGCACUUACACGGCCUGCUUUGGUUCACAUAUUCCAUAAAAGUUUUCCAUCUCUAACCAAGGAAUUUCAGAUCAGGGUAAAAAUGUGAGUAAAUCAGAGCUGGCAUCUGUCCCAGACAUAUCAAUUCCCUUAAUUCCCUUUUUCCUGUGGCUUUGGGACAAUCAAAAUAGGGAAUGUUUCCAUUGCUAUACCUUCAUGAAAGUACAAUAUGUGAAUGCUAUAUCCUGAGUGCAUCUAGUGUGUUUCCUUACCUUGGUCGUUACCAACUGCACAGCUUUCUCUGGCAAUUAUGUGAAACGGAGCACUGCAAUAGAGUAAAUCUUUUGGCAGGGCUUGGCUCCAGGGAAGAUCAAAACCUCCAACGUGACAGUUAAUGAAACAAGGAGAAAGAAGAGGGAAACUAUCAGUCCCAGCCUGCCAACACUAACAGAGUCCGAAGGCAGCUGGAGGUGCCAAGGUGUCUGCUUGCAAGGUUGGGAGAGGGUUGGAGGGGCUGUACAGAGGGCUGCACCAAGGCAGGUUUUGCUCCACUUUGGGUGACUGAGGAGCAGUGGAGACAAGUCAUCCCAUCCAAGGAUGGUUGGGUGCAGGUGUUGGUUGCAUACUGUCUUUUUUUUAAGAUAAAGAACAAGCCGACAUUAUUCUGCAUCCCUUGGGCAGUGGUACUUUAUCCGGGAGCUGGCUGGAGUAGACAGGAGCAUGGCAUGGAUCCGGGGAUAUCAUCUGAGUGCAAGGACAGCACGAAGAGAGCAACAGAGAGCACCUGGAGAGACGACCAGUGGCCUUCAACGGGUAACUUAAAGGAGUUAAAGACAAAAUGUGGCAGCCUGCUGCAUCACCAGCCAUAAAGCGGAGCAGAGAGCAAGGGCCUCCAAUAAUGAGCCUUUUUAUCUCUAAAGCAGUGUUUUGCAGGCUGUGAUCCGUGGGCCUUCAGUGGUCCGUAAAACAUCCAGUGGUGGCUCAUGAAACAAUAGUGAACCCUCUCUCCUCCCCUCCAGUGGCCGCAGAAACAAGCACACAACUAAAUGGGAGAAAAUAAAAGCUACUAUAGAUUAACUUUCAAA